rnacentral:rRNA from 1 species
AAACUUUAACAACGGAUCUCUUGGCUCUAGCAUCGAUGAAGAACGCAGCGAAACGCGAUAUGUAGUGUGAAUUGCAGAAUUCAGUGAUCAUCGAAUCUUGAACGCACAUGGCGCCUUCCAGUAUCCUGGAGGCAUGCCUGUCCGAGCGUCG